rnacentral:lncRNA from 1 species
GAGUUUCAUAAUAAUUAAUUCUUGAAUUAGUAUAUAUACUCUUAUCUCUGUUGCUCCUAUCAAUAGAUUCAAUACAGUGACAUCUAUAGAAUUUGAUCAAUAUGUAAAUAUUUGGACUUGUUGGCAGAAAUUCUACAAAACAACUCUAUUACUUGCCUACCAGAGCUUUGGAGUUGUUUAUGGUGAUCUCUGCACAUCCCCUAUCUAUGUCUACAAGAGUACAUUCUCUGGGAAGUUACAACUUUAUGAGGAGGACCAUGAGAUUUUCGGGCUACUUUCUUUGGUUUUCUGGACUCUGACAAUCAUCCCUCUUUGCAAGUACAUGAUAUUUGUGUUAGGAGCAAAUGACAAUGGAGAAGGUGCUCAUAUGAUCCAUCCAAUAUUUAUUAAUCAUCUUAUUAAUGUAAGAAGUUUAAUGCUCAUUUCUUUUCAAGAGCCUAUCUUUUCCAGGUGGAACCUUCGCGUUGUACUCGUUACACUGCCGACACUCCAGGAUGGGCCUUUUGAAGAGUCCUCUUCUUGAACAUGAAUUUGUACCUAGUUAUGAUUCUGAUGUAUACACCAAGGAGACAAGAACUAGCUUUCUCAUAAAGGAAUUCUUCGAGAAGCAUCGUAGUUCUCGUGUUGUUUUUCUGCUAGUUGUUCUGCUUGGGACUAGCAUGGUUAUAGGUGAUGGAAUCCUGACACCAACAAUGUCGG